ensembl:snRNA U5 U5 spliceosomal RNA
AUACUCUGGUUUCUCUUCAGAUCGCAUAAAUUUUUCGCCUUUUACUAAAGAUUUCUGUGGAGAAUUGGAUAAUAUGAUACUUUCCUUAAAUUA